UCUCGAAUUUCUGGCCUCAAGUGAUCUGGCCGCCUUGUCACCUAGCUUUUGGCAUUUCAUAGAAAUGUUUAAUAAUAGAAUUUAUAAGUCAUUUCAUAUAUGUUAAAAUACUUUUAUAUUUCUUACGUUUGAUCUUCACAAACCUAAAAUGCCAGCAUUAUUAUCCCUGUUUUACAAAUCUGGAAUCGUGAAACAUUACCUCUUUUUCUUUAAUUCAGGUGGAGAAAUAUCUUUCAGCCUGAGUGGACAUUUUUAAGGACAAUGCUAUGGACUGAAUGUUUGUGUCCCCCAAACUUCAUAUGUUGACAUCCUAAUCUUUAAUGUGAUAGUAUUGGGAAGUGAAGCUUUAGGAAAUAAUUAGGUCAUAAGGCUGAAGCCCUUGUAAGUGGGAUUAGUGCCCUUAUAAAGAGGAUCCCAGAGAGUUCUCUAGCUAUCUUUCUACCAUGUGAGGACACAGUAAGAAGUCAACUAUUUGCAACCCAAAAGAGGGUCCUCACCAGAACCUGGUGGUGCAGGAACCGUGAUCUCAGACUUCCAGCCUCCAGAACUGUGACAAAUAGAUUUCUUGUUGGUAAGCCCACCAGUUUAUGAUAUUUUAUUAUUGCAGCUGGAGCUGACUCAGGCAGAAAUCACAUUAACAGAAUGCCGUUAGUAGUUCCAAUGAACUUGCAUCAUGGGAUGCUAGAAUCAUGGAAAUUGGAUAGGGAAAUAGAGCAUCUGUUCUCUCAGCAAGACAUUUCCAAAUCAGUUUUCCUAUCUGUAAGAGGAAAGGAAGGUUUUGUUUUUGUUUCUUAAGCAGCCGUUUAUUGUGUGCCUGCCAUUUGUUAGAUGCUAUUUUAGGGACUUUCCUUACUUUAUGUCUUUUAAUUUUCAGUCAACUAUUAAGAGAAAUAAUAUUCCCACUUUUCAGAUAAGAAAGAUGAGACCUGGACUAAAUGAUUUGCCCAGGGUCACAGAGGAAAGUGUCAGAACCUGAAUUCCACACUGACUCAGUCAACUUCAAAGCCUCUGCCUUAUUUAUUAUAUUAAGAUGCCUUCUAUAACUAAGAGAUAAUGUUCCUAUAAGAAAAAGUGAUCUUGUCUACAUCUGGCUAGCAGAAGAAACUGAUCGGUGUAUCACAGAGAUAGCUAAAUAAUGAAGAACAAGAUGGACUGAGUGGAAUGAACAGCUGUUACAAAUGUAGAAACUAUCAAAGAGCAGUCUAAUUGAGGAGCAGUAUACUGUAGCAGUCAAGAGCAUGGAUCUGAAAUCAGACCAGCCUGGAUUUAAGUUUUGGCUCUACCAUUACCUAGAUGUUUCAUCUUUCUCCAAGUUACACACUCUCAGCCUCAGUUUUCUCACCCAUAAACAAGCAUAUAAGGAUAAUAACCUGUCUCAGGUUGUAAGGAUUAAAGGGAACUUAUAUAAAACCUAUAAUGAAUCUGACUCACUAGGGUCUUAAUAAAUAGUAGCUUCUCUUAUAAGCAGAACAGGGCCAAGUAGUAAUUGCAACUGAGAAGAGAAAAUGCAGUUCAAAGCAAGAUGAAAAGGAUGAGUUAAGUCCCCUAGAGAGCUCAGCCCUACAGGAUUCGAGAUUCUCAUUCAUUCAUACCUUCCCUCCCUUCUCAUUUUUCUUCUUCAACUACUUCCCUCUUUUCCUCUCUGCCCACCAAACAUUAUGCUAGACUCCACAUGCAGCAUCUCAUUUUGUCCAUCCACCUUGAGCUUGCUUUUGCCCUGCUCUCCUCGGUGUAGAAUUCUCUUCCUCCUGUCCCUCCCUUCACCCCCGCUUCCUGUCUCUGAGCUUCCUUCUCCAGGUUUGCUCCCUCUUUCCAUCAGGUAUCACUUUAUCACCACCUCCUCAAAGAGGCCGUGUUCAUGUCCAGGCCCACAAUCUCAAGUAGCCAUCCUGUGAUUCUGUAUAUUAUCCUUUUUAAACUCUAUGCAGCACUUACUACCUCUGAUGUUUUUCUUCUUUAAGGAUUUGAUUGCCUCAUGUGACAAGCCCAAGAUCUGUGACAGUUGGAGCUCAAACUAGGCAGUCUUGAUUCCACAAUGCUCUGAACUAGUAUUUGAAGGAACUAAUGGCCAUGACAUGUUAAAUGAAAGUUUGGGGACUUACACUCAGGAUGGAAGCGGGGGGACACAACAGAAAUGAAAGAAUUUUCUGUAGAUCUGGCAUCUGGACACCUGCCCCCCUCAUGGUUCCUGGUUGUGGUUGUUGGAAUUCUGCCUGCCAGAUUAGAGGGGAGUUACUGUAACAUGAUAAAUCCCAGUUAUGAUAAAAAAUGUGCUACCCACCUUCUAAUGCCCCUCUUAAGAACCAGAUGUUUUCUAGAAAAAUGUUUCACUCUGCAAUCUGCCUUACAGUGCACAUCAAUGAAUCUGGCACAAUGCCCAUAAAAGCAAUCUGAUCCCAUAAAUGAGGGAUGUGGAGUAAUGAGCAGGUUCUAAAUAUCUUACUUCCGAGUAGUAUAACAUGAGACUCGAUGGCAAUCCUUAAACCAGGCUGCUUUCAAAUUGUAUGUAUGUUAUAUUUGUCUUCCUUCAAACAAAUUCUUUUGGCAAUGUAAAAGAAAUCCUGUUUUUUUUUGUUUUGUUUUGUUUUGUUUUAAGGGGGUAUUUUAAGAAGGUAAUUACUAUUUCCAUUUUCACCAAAAGCAGCCUAGUUUUAUUUUUAAUGGGUAAAUGAUGUAAGAACCUUAAAAAACCACUUGAAACACAGGACAGAGCUGCAAAAUGUUCAGUAGUAUCCUCACUUAUUUCGGGUCGGGCAAUAGGUCCUUUUGCAUAGUUACAGAUUAAACUUUCUUUGAAAAACACACUAAGCUUAAGAACUUUGAGGAAAAAGAAUGCACUAAAACGCUAAGCAGUUACAAAAAUGCUCUUUUCAUACAGUUUAAUAUGUGAAGUUGCUCUAGUAAAUAAAUAAAAACUCCUCCCUUACAUAAUUUCCUGAAGAAUUUUUUUGUCCAAUUUUUCACAUUGACUUAAGUUACAAAUUGCAGAGGAUAGAUUGAGGGGGACUCUGGGUGGGCGCAAGCGCAGGAUAUUGAGAAAUUGCAAGGCCAAAGUUAAAAUGAUUGAAUACAUACCAUGUGAAGAGUCAAGGUGAGGCAACGGGACAAAUGACGUGUCUAGAUUCUGAUGUCACUUACUUGUGUUAAACACAGAAAUCUACUGCCUUUUAUAAAAUGUAUGUGCUGGGUGGUUGUUUUUGUAGAUUUUUUUAAAUGCCCAAUAUUCAUUAUUCAAGUUUCAAUAAAAAUGAUUUUGUUUCUACAAAAAGGAAACAAUUUUUUAAUUUUUUAUUUGGAAAAAAAAUUAAACGUACAGAAAAUUGCAUGAGUAAGAUUGCAAAGACCAUAUAUAUUAAGGUAAACAUUAAAAUAUUGCUAAUAUUUUAAACCA